rnacentral:rRNA from 1 species
UACGUAGGGUGCAAGCGUUAAUCGGAAUUACUGGGCGUAAAGCGUGCGCAGGCGGUUUUGUAAGUCUGUCGUGAAAGCCCCGGGCUCAACCUGGGAAUUGCGAUGGAGACUGCAAGGCUUGAAUCUGGCAGAGGGGGUAGAAUUCCACGUGUAGCAGUGAAAUGCGUAGAGAUGUGGAGGAACACCGAUGGCGAAGGCAGCCCCCUGGGCUGACACUGACGCUCAGGCACGAAAGCGUGGGGAGCAAACAGG